AGGAAUAACCAAAAGGGUGAGAAGAUGAUUAGUUAAAAUCACCCUUAUGGUGGCUGGCCUGUGUAAGUGUUAGAGAGAUAAUUUUUCUUUUCUCCUUUUGUUCUUUCAACACUUCAAAAAACCCUAAUGAAAAUAUAUGCUAUAAAGUUCCUUAUAUAGCCAAAAAGAAACAAGUCAACAUUUGACCUUUCUCUCCCUCUUUCAGUCUAUAUGGCCGGCCCCCUUAGUGUUGUUUAGGCUUUGGGCUUUUAUUUAUUUCAAGUCAUCCAAUGCUUGAAUAAAAGCCCAAUGGGUUUAGGCCCAAUGGACCCAAUUAAACCCGAACGUUUCUUUAAGCGCAAAACGAUCUUAUAUCGCUUUUAUGAUUUCUUUAG
rnacentral:lncRNA from 1 species